UACGGGGGGGGCAAGCGUUGUUCGGAAUUACUGGGCGUAAAGGGUCUGUAGGUGGCUUGCUAAGUCAGACGUGAAAUCCCUCAGCUUAACUGGGGAACUGCGUCUGAGACUGGCGAGCUUGAGGGCAGGAGAGGAACGCGGAGUUCCAGGUGUAGCGGUGAAAUGCGUAGAUAUCUGGAGGAACACCGGUGGCGAAGGCGGCGUUCUGGACUGCAUCUGACACUGAAAGACGAAAGCCAGGGGAGCAAACGGG
rnacentral:rRNA from 1 species